rnacentral:lncRNA from 1 species
UUAUUUGGUCCGAGACCACAAUUAAUUCAUAGUGCAUUUCUUAUAGAACAUAAAUGAAAAUUAAAAAAAUCCCACCUGCGCUUUCUCAAUGAAAUUUUUACAGUGUGUUGUACUACUUUUGGGACAAAUUAUAUCAAAAUUAUAGAAAACUUCAUUGGCUCUAACUCAAAAUAUGGACAAUUUUAUGUUUAGGGCGUCUUGAAAUCUUUUGACAGCUUCCGAAGUGCUAAUUUUUAACCUUUUUCAGCUUGACCAAAUCACUACUUUCCUUUAAAAUUCUGAACCCAAAUUUUUUUAGUGUAAUUUUACCCGCCUUCUUGCAAUUUGAGGCAUAAAACAUGGAGAAAUAAAUUUGGAAGGGGUAUAAAAAAUAUUGGCAAGUAACCCACUGUCAACACUAGGGACUAUAUUUGUGGACAACGAAAAUCAAGGGACGACAAUUGUGCUCUUGGACCAUUU